rnacentral:rRNA from 1 species
AUCAGGCAGCAGUCGAGAAUCAUUCACAAUGGGGGAAACCCUGAUGGUGCGACGCCGCGUGGGGGAAUGAAGGUCUUCGGAUUGUAAACCCCUGUCAUGUGGGAGCAAAUUAAAAAGAUAGUACCACAAGAGGAAGAGACGGCUAACUCUGUGCCAGCAGCCGCGGUAAUACAGAGGUCUCAAGCGUUGUUCGGAAUCACUGGGCGUAAAGCGUGCGUAGGCUGUUUCGUAAGUCGUGUGUGAAAGGCGCGGGCUCAGCCCGCGGACGGCACAUGAUACUGCGAGACUAGAGUAAUGGAGGGGGA